UAGAUAAUUAGACAUAGGGCGAAUUAUUCCCCUUGUAAACUGCAGCAGCUUUUCCAUAAUACAACUUUUCCAGUGAAUUAUCCAGGAGUAACUCCUCCCUAGAAGCCCUUAUUCCCACGCAGACAGUCACUAGUACUCCCUACUCUUCAAGAGGGGAGGGGACAGUCUUUGAGCGAAGUGGUCGGACAGCGCACGGUCAUAGAAAGCCAUCCAGCCAGUGACUAUUGUAGCUACGGAAGCGCUAGUUAGCACACAUUUUCGUCAGCGGUCGGCGCAACAACUCAGCGAGCAACCACUAGUCUCUCUCUCUCUCUGUUGCGUGCUAUCUGGAAGACCGAGGAGGACAGUUCAUUCUGCUACACUCAUCCAUGGCUCUGUGCAACGGAGAUACCAAGCUGGACAUCAGCAGCAUUGAGCCUCAGAAUGGUUCAUGUGAGGGGGCAGUGGUCAUCCUGGACGCUGGGGCUCAGUACGGAAAGGUGAUUGACAGGCGGGUCAGAGAGCUGUUUGUCCGCUCAGAGAUCCUCCCACUAGAGACGCCAGCCUUCGCCAUCAGAGAACAAGGCUUCAGGGCGAUCAUCAUUUCUGGUGGGCCUAAUUCUGUGUAUGCUGAGGAUGCCCCCUGGUUUGACCCUGCCAUAUUCACCAUUGGAAAGCCUGUCCUGGGUAUCUGCUAUGGAAUGCAGAUGAUGAAUAAGGUUUUUGGAGGAACUGUACACAGGAAGAGUGUGAGAGAGGAUGGGGUGUUCAACAUCGGACUGGACAACACCUGUUCUCUCUUCAGGGGCCUUAAGAAGGAGGAGCUGGUGCUGUUGACUCAUGGGGACAGUGUGGACAAGGUGGCCGACGACUUCAAGGUGGUGGCCCAGUCAGGGAGCAUCAUUGCGGGUAUUGCCAACGAGCAGAAGAAGCUGUAUGGGACCCAGUUUCACCCGGAAGUGGACCUGACGGAGCGGGGAACAGAGAUAUUACGUAACUUCCUGUUUGAGAUCGCCGGCUGCACAUCCAACUUCACUGUCCAGAACCGCCAGCAGUCCUGCAUCACAGAGAUUCAGGAGAAAGUUGGAAAGUCCAAAGUACUGGUUCUGCUGAGUGGUGGGGUGGACUCCACGGUGUGUACGGCACUGCUCAACAAAGCUCUGAACCAGGAGCAGGUCAUCGCGGUGCACAUCGACAAUGGCUUUAUGAGGAAGAGGGAGAGCCAGAGCGUUGAGGAGGCCCUCACCAAACUGGGCAUCAACCUCAAAGUGGUGAACGCAGCACACACCUUCUAUAAUGGCACAACGACCCUGCCCAUAUCCGACGAGGACCGGACGCCACGGAAACGCAUCAGCAAGACCCUCAACAUGACGACCAACCCUGAGGAGAAGAGGAAGAUCAUCGGAGACACCUUCGUCAAGGUGGCCAAUGAGGUGAUAGGGGAGAUGAACCUGAAGCCGGAGGAGGUGUUCCUAGCCCAGGGCACCCUGAGGCCAGACCUCAUAGAGAGUGCUUCUCACCUCGCCAGCGGCAAGGCAGAGGUCAUCAAAACACACCACAACGACACAGAACUCAUCCGCAAGCUCAGAGACGAGGGAAAAGUCAUUGAGCCGCUGAAGGACUUCCAUAAGGAUGAGGUUCGGGCACUGGGCAGAGAACUGGGACUGCCAGAGGACAUCGUCUGUCGACACCCUUUCCCUGGUCCUGGACUGGCCAUCAGAGUGAUCUGUGCAGACGAGCCCUACAUCUGUAAGGACUUUGCUGAGACCAACAACAUCCUCAAGAUCAUCACAGACUUCUCUGCCAUGGUCAAAAAGCCCCACACGUUGCUGCAGAGAGUGAAGUCGUGUAUAUCAGACGAGGAGGAGGAGAAACUCCUGCAGAUCACCAGUCUACAUUCACUCAAUGCCUUCCUGCUGCCAAUCAAGACUGUGGGAGUCCAGGGAGACUGUCGGUCCUAUAGCUAUGUGUGUGGGGUCACCAGUAAAGAGGCUCCACACUGGGAAUCCCUCAUGUUCCUGGCCAGACUCAUCCCUCGCAUGUGUCACGCCAUCAACAGAGUGGUGUAUGUAUUUGGGUCCCACGUGAAGGAGCCCCCUACAGACGUCACCCCCACCUUCCUGACCACGGGCGUUCUCAGCACACUCAGACAGGCGGACUUUGUGGCCCACUCCAUCCUCAGAGAGUCUGGUUACUCUGGGAAGAUCAGUCAGAUGCUGGUCAUCCUGACCCCUCUGUACCCUCUUUCUCCCAGGUUACUCUGGGAAGAUCAGUCAGAUGCCGGUCAUCCUGACCCCUCUGCACUUUGACCGUGAUUCCUCACAGAGGCAGCCGUCCUGCCGACGCUCUGUGGUCGUAAGAACGUUCAUCACCAGUGACUUCAUGACCGGGAUACCUGCCACGCCCGGAAACCACAUCCCCGAGGAGGUGGUGCUGAAGAUGGUAAAUGAGAUCAAGAAGAUCCCUGGCAUCUCCCGCGUGAUGUUUGACCUGACCUCCAAACCUCCUGGCACCACAGAGUGGGAGUAGAGCUCAUGGAGAGAGAAGAGAGGAGAUGUGAGCUCCUCUCUUCCUCUUCUCCUCUUUUCUUUCCCUCUCCUAACACCUAUCCCCCCCAUCUCACCUCUCCUUUCAGAUCACCCCCCCUCUCUAGAACAUUCCCAUGGAAAGCAGGCAGUACUGUGACCAGCACACACCUGAAGCCGCUACUCUGCCCCCCGCUCAGUUUUUGGGAGGUGUGUUUGUAUUAUUGUUAUUAUAGAUAUGAUGACUAUUCAUUCUUAUUUUUGGAUCAGUUUCUUCAUGCGUGACAAUGCAUUAUGUUUUUCCUUCUUUGGCAUAAGUGCUGCUUCCUGUUUUUGGAAACAGCCAGUUGAGAUUCAAAGGUUAAGAGAGUGAGAGUUCAGGAAGUGGAUUGUGUAAACAGCGUGCCUCAGAUUGCAGCGUGAGACCAACGACAGAAGAAAGAGAGGAAACAGCAUACUUGUAUGACACAGGUUGAAGGAAGAGCAGCAACUUGCCCGUGGCUUAAAGUCUUCCAUCGCAUUUUGGCUUUUUAUGUUCCACUUCCGAUGAGUCUUUUUGUCCCAAGAUGAUUUUUACUCAACCAUUUCCGUUCCAACUGUAUACUGUGCAAAGAGACACAGUGGCUGCCUGUCUCAAAGUCAUUUAGCAGAGAAACUGUGACCAAUAUCACUUUUUUUUUUAAACUUUUUUUUAAAACUUUUUUUUUUUGUUGCCAAAUGUAGAUUAAGCUGUGGUGAAAUUAGAUUUGGGUUUUUGUUGACGGUCCACUUAAAUGAAAAAAUGUGAUGUUAAACUACCAACAGCGGCCAAAGGAAAACUAUUAGUUAAUUUUCAGAGAUUGGUAACUGUUUGGGAAGCCCCCAAAUUGACGGGGUGUCCUUUUCUGUGCCUGUUUUUUUUUUUUUUUUCUCUUCCCCUUUGUUUGACACGCCCCCUGCCUGGUGAGAACUGUUACUUCAUGCUGCAAUAUAUGCUAUUUAAGAGAAACAAGAUGACAAAAGGACUGAGAGUUAAUUAAAAUGUUACUAUAGUCAAAACAACAAUUGUUGUGAACACCUUUGUCGUUAUCGUGAUCAUGCUGGCACGUGGCACCUCCUACAGUUGUGUAGGAGCAACUUUUGCACAUAAAGCCUUGGUGCUUUCCUAACGCGUUUGGGAAGUUCUAGUACUUACAGCUGAUGGAUUUUAAAACCCAAUCACGAAAGCAUCCCCCCCCCUUUUUUUUUUAUAGGGUCAAAUUGAAAACUGGCAGUGGCCAUCGUGACUAGAGGACUCCUGAGUAGGCAUUGCCAGUAAUCUGGCUCUCAGUUCAGUUUUCAACACUGAUGUUUUCAACUCUGAUUUACUGAGUCCUCAGUUAGACCAGGACUAACUGUUUUACUGGACCUGAAGCAUGUCUUUUUAAUAAGGACCCCUGUCUGCCCCAUGUCCAGCCUGUAGGUCAUGUUUUACUGUGCGAUAAUACUGAUUUACAUGCCUCUGUGUUUGACUUUGUACCCCUCACCUUCAAUAUUAUUUUGUUAUGACAGCUGAAUACCCAAUGCAAAAUGAAUCUGUUCCUUAACGGUCUUAAUUGCAACUUGUCGUUAGCGUCUCUCCCUUUGUGUUGCCUUUAAUUGUGUAUUUUAUGAUGCAUAUGUCUACUUGGAAAACAAAAAUCGCUUAAUUAAUGGAUGUUUAAUUUUUGUAGUUGGAUUUUACUGCAAUAUUGAAAUAAGAUUAAUUUAUGCAAUUCUGUGUUUGAUAUUCUUUUUUUGUUUGUUUAGUUUAAAACAGCUCGUUCUUCCUUGGUAACAUUCCUCAAACCAAGUCCCUGCAUGCAGUUUCAACUAUGAAAUGUGUAUAAUGGAAAACCAAGCUUUAGUAAAGAAGUCUCAGUUGAA